GACGAACGCUGGCGGCGUGCUUAACACAUGCAAGUCGAACGGAAAGGCCCUGCUUUUGUGGGGUGCUCGAGUGGCGAACGGGUAAGUAACACGUGAGUAACCUGCCCUUGACUUUGGGAUAACUUCAGGAAACUGGGGCUAAUACCGGAUAGGAGCUCCUGCUGCAUGGUGGGGGUGGGAAAGUUUCGGCGGUUGGGGAUGGACUCGCGGCUUAUCAGCUUGUUGGUGGGGUAGUGGCUUACCAAGGCUUUGACGGGUAGCCGGCCUGAGAGGGUGACCGGCCACAUUGGGACUGAGAUACGGCCCAGACUCCUACGGGAGGCAGCAGUGGGGAAUAUUGCACAAUGGGCGGAAGCCUGAUGCAGCAACGCCGCGUGCGGGAUGACGGCCUUCGGGUUGUAAACCGCUUUCGCCUGUGACGAAGCGUGAGUGACGGUAAUGGGUAAAGAAGCACCGGCUAACUACGUG
rnacentral:rRNA from 1 species